UACGAAGGGGGGCUAGCGUUGCUCGGAUUGACUGGGCGUAAAGGGCGCGUAGGCGGUUCGUACAGUCAGACGUGAAAUUCCUGGGCUCAACCUGGGGGCUGCGUUUGAUACGUACGGACUUGAGUGCGGAAGAGGGUCGUGGAAUUCCCAGUGUAGAGGUGAAAUUCGUAGAUAUUGGGAAGAACACCGGUGGCGAAGGCGGCGACCUGGUCCGAUACUGACGCUGAGGCGCGAAAGCGUGGGGAGCAAACAGG
rnacentral:rRNA from 1 species